rnacentral:snRNA from 16 species
AUCUUUGCGCUUGGGGCAAUGACGCAGCUAGUGAGGUUAUACCGAGGCGCGUCAAUUGCUGGUUGAAAACUAUUUCCAAACCCCCUCUUUGGCCCCCCGGGGCCACUGAGAAUUUCUGAAAGGGCUCCCUUUCCUCCGGGAGAGGGGAAAGCC